UACGUAGGGUGCGAGCGUUAAUCGGAAUUACUGGGCGUAAAGCGUGCGCAGGCGGUUUUGUAAGCCAGAUGUGAAAUCCCCGGGCUUAACCUGGGAAUGGCAUUUGGGACUGCAAGGCUUGAGUGCGGCAGAGGAGACUGGAAUUCCUGGUGUAGCAGUGAAAUGCGUAGAUAUCAGGAGGAAUACCGAUGGCGAAGGCAGGUCUCUGGGCUGACACUGACGCUCAUGCACGAAAGCGUGGGGGACAAACAGG
rnacentral:rRNA from 1 species